rnacentral:rRNA from 1 species
UACGGAGGGGGCUAGCGUUGUUCGGAAUUACUGGGCGUAAAGUGUGCGCAGGCGGCAGAGCAAGUCGAGUGUGAAAGCCCCCGGGCUUAACUUGGGAAUUUGCGCUCGAAAACUACUUUUGCUGGAGUGUGGCAGAGGAAAGGUGGAAUUCCACGUGUAGCGGUGAAAAUGCGUAGAGAUGUGGAGGAACACCAAUGGCGAAGGCAGCCUUCU